rnacentral:rRNA from 1 species
AGCAGCCGCGGUAAUUCCAGCUCCAAUAGCGUAUAUUAAAGUUGCUGCAGUUAAAAAGCUCGUAGUUGAAUUUCGGGAUCAAUUUACUGGUCGUGCCUACGGUACGUACUGGUAUUGUUGGUUCCUCCUUUCUGAGGAGCCGCGAUGUCAUUAACUUGGUGUCGCGGGGAAUCAGGACUGUUACUUUGAAAAAAUUAGAGUGUUUAAAGCAGGCUAACGCUUGAAUACAUUAGCAUGGAAUAAUGAAAUAGGACGUUUGAUCCUAUUUUGUUGGUUUCUAGGGUCGACGUAAUGAUUAAUAGGGAUAGUUGGGGGCAUUAGUAUUCAAUUGUCAGAGGUGAAAUUCUUGGAUUUAUUGAAGACUAACUACUGCGAAAGCAUUUGCCAAGGAUGUUUUCAUUAAUCAAGAACGAAAGUUAGGGGAUCGAAGACGAUCAGAUACCGUCGUAGUCUUAACCAUAAACUAUGCCGACUAGGGAUCGGAUGAUGUUAAUUUUUUAAUGACUCAUUCGGCGCCUUACGGGAAAACC